UUCAGCCCCUCAUGUGGCGUUACCCUGUGAACCUCCCCAGGGCUGGAAGGCAGCAAGGAUAAACAGGCUCUAGCGGGUACAUGAGGGGUCCUUUUA
rnacentral:SRP_RNA from 1 species